AGUACCGAAACUGUGGAUGUGUUUUAAAGAGCACGUGGUAGGAGAGCGUUCUAAGUGCGGCGAAGGUGAACCGAGAGGAUCAUUGGAGCGCUUAGAAGUGAGAAUGCCGGUAUGAGUAGCGAAAGAUAGGUGAGAAUCCUAUCCGCCGAAAGACUAAGGUUUCCUGGGGCAGGCUCGUCCGCCCAGGGUAAGUCGGGACCUAAGGCAAGGCCGAGAGGCGUAGUCGAUGGACAACAGGUAGAAAUUCCUGUACUGUGUUCAAUCGUUAUGAGCGAUGGAGGGACGCAGGAGGUGAAGCACGCAUCGAGCUGGAUCGAUGUUCAAGCGACAAGUGCGGUUAAGAGUCAAAUGCUUCUAACCAGCAACACGAGUCGUGAUGAGGAGUGAAGUAAAAGUAGCGAAGGUGUGGUAGUCACACUGCCAAGAAAAGCUUCUAGCCAGAGAGAACAUACCCGUACCGCAAACCGACACAGGUAGUCGAGUGGAGAACACUAAGGUGAGCGAGAGAACUCUCGUUAAGGAACUCGGCAAAAUGACCCCGUAACUUCGGAAGAAGGGGUGCUAGCCAAGAGAUUGGUUAGCCGCAGUGAAUAGGCCCAAACAACUGUUUAUCAAAAACACAGGUCUCUGCAAAAUCGUAAGAUGACGUAUAGAGGCUGACACCUGCCCGGUGCUGGAAGGUUAAGAGGAGAGCUUAGCGUAAGCGAAGGUUUGAAUUGAAGCCCCAGUAAACGGCGGCCGUAACUAUAACGGUCCUAAGGUAGCGAAAUUCCUUGUCGGGUAAGUUCCGACCUGCACGAAAGGUGUAAUGAUUUGGGCACUGUCUCAACGAGAGACUCGGUGAAAUUAUAAUACCCGUGAAGAUGCGGGUUACCCGCGACAGGACGGAAAGACCCCAUGGAGCUUCACUGUAGCUUGAUAUUGAGUAUCUUUUAAACAUGUACAGGAUAGGUAGGAGCCAGAGAAGAUAGGACGCUAGUCUUAUUGGAGGCAAUGUUGGGAUACUACCCUUGUUUGAAGGAUGCUCUAACCUCGACCUGUAAGCCAGGCCAGGGACAGUGUCAGGUGGGCAGUUUGACUGGGGCGGUCGCCUCCUAAAGUGUAACGGAGGCGCUCAAAGGUUCCCUCAGAAUGGUUGGAAAU
rnacentral:rRNA from 1 species